CCUACGGGGGUCAGCAGUGAGGAAUAUUGGUCAAUGGGCGGGAGCCUGAACCAGCCAAGUCGCGUGAGGGAAGACGGUCCUAUGGAUUGUAAACCUCUUUAGGCGGGGAGCAAUGCCGGGCACGUGUGCCCGGAUGGAGAGUACCCGCAGAAUAAGCAUCGGCUAACUCCGUGCCAGCAGCCGCGUUAAAACGGAGGUGGCAAGCGUUAUCCGGAUUUAUUGGGUGUAAAGGGCGUGUAGGCGGGAAAGCAAGUCAGAUGUGAAAACUCAGGGCUCAACCCUGAGGCUGCAGUUGAAACUGGUUUUCUUGAGUGCUGGAGAGGCAAUCGGAAUUCCGUGUGUAGCGGUGAAAUGCGUAGAUAUACGGAGGAACACCAGUGGCGAAGGCGGAUUGCUGGACAGUAACUGACGCUGAGGCACGAAAGCGUGGGGAGCAAACAGGAUUAGAUACCCUUGUAGUC
rnacentral:rRNA from 1 species